AUGGCAGUGCUAUCACCUCCGAUCCGCGUCCUUGCCCUCCUGGCCUGCGGCCUGGCCGCCCCCGUCCUUGCCGGCGACCCCGGAAACGACGGAAACGACAAAGUAACCAUCUGG
rnacentral:ribozyme from 1 species